AUGAAUUGUUUACAUUUUUAUCCUCAGUAUGUUUAAUUAAUUCAGUGAUUUAUUAAAUUUGUUAAAGUAUUAGGUUGUUGCUGUUGGGCAAGUUGAAGACGUGCCAUAGUUGCUGGCACAUUAACUCCCACUUGGGGCACUAAAGAUGGGCCAGGUGCUCCAAGUGGCAUUAUCGGAAAGGCAGGUGACUGAGAGGCUGCCAUCAGCCGAGAAGGCGAACCGGGAUUUGAAACAAGUUGUCCUAAAGCUAAACAAUUUUCAUUUGCAUGUCUAAAACACUUCAGUAAUCGAAAAAGAAAUCGGCCGCCGUUUGUAAUUACCUGCGGGAAGAGUGAAAGCAGUCGAUGUAGUCGCUAGUGACAUUCCAGCCAGACCACUAUUGAGAGAGUCGACUUGACUAGAAUAAA